CUUAAAAACACUCGGAUAUUUUCGCAACUUAAAAAAACUGUAGCUUGUACAGUUUUCAGUAAAGAUUUGAAUUCGUUCAAAUGUUAUGUUACAUUCAGUGAAAAACUUACGUAACAUAACAGCUGUCAAUUGCUCGCGCAGUUGCAUGCAGUUAAACAAAACAAACUGAAUAACAUCAACCAAAAAAAAAAAACAUCUAAUUUUCAUUUCGCCUUUAUAAGCUUAAAAUCUGAGCAACAAUCCCACGUUCAAAAGUGCUGGUCAAUUUUGGAUAUCGGAACUGCAUUGGAAACCGUCCAUCAAAUUCUCCCAUCUGACAAAAAGUGCGGAGUUCAAACGGUGAUUUCCGGCAACGCGAUGGAGCAUAAAAACGAAGGAAAUUCCGAACUUAGGAGCUGCUUUCGGAUGCAAUCGUCAGAACUUUUGGAUAAGGAUUGAAUUCCAUGCACGCAGUCUUUCGGACAUCUCGCAGGACCAAAUUUUAUGCAAAGCAGCCUGCUCCCUUAGCUCGUUGAAGACGCGUCCCCGAAUGGCUGGGAAGAUUCACUUCAAAAUUUGGCUAGUUUUAGCAGGAAAAAAUUAAUGCAUUCGGAAGGCACGUCAAUCAAUACGAUGGCAGAAGAUAUGGCAAACGCCAACAACUCAGAGGAGCUGAGUGUCCUUGGAGAUCUACUGCCCAGUAAACAUGAAUCGGCAGAGAGGUAACUCAAAUCGACAGAGGGAUCGUUUCGAUCUCUCUAGCGAUUAUGCAUCAUCUAAUCGGCAGAGAGGAACACACCAGACGCGUG